UCCCUGGUGGUCUAGUGGUUAGGACUUGGUGCUUUCACUGCUUCUGCCCAGGUUCAAUCCUUGGCCUGGGAA
rnacentral:tRNA from 1 species